CUACGCAGAAAAGUUAGGCCACAAUGUCAUAAAUCAUUGCCGUGGUACAAGGUAUGGUGCGCGUGCUCUUUUAAAAAAUAUCUGUUUUUGCACGAGCGGACUAGGCCUUACGAGCAGAUGGAAGGGCUCCAGGAAAGACAACAUCCGUUGCUUGUAGGCUUUGUUAGGCAGGCAAGAUGUCAGAUCAUGUAUAAAUUGAGGGUGUUAUCUAGACAGCGGGGCAUGCACGAAACAUAUGAGUGGGUGGAUAAUCCAGAGGGGCAUUGUGUUCCGCAGGGAUGCCAGAGGUUAAGAGAGCUGAUUGAUGAGGAGGUUGGAGCAAGGAAACAAGACGCCGUGAUCCAAGUGAUCUCGGAGAUGAAUGUGCCUCUUGGUGAGGCCAGUCUGAAUGGGGAACACAAAGCAACUAUCCUAGAUGAUAUUAUGGAAGCUGAUGGUGAUACACGAGAUGUUCAUGCCGGAUCGGGAUCAUCAGGGCAGAGAGGGCCAACGAAUGCUGCAGGUAGCAGCAGGGCUGCUGCAAGGCCAGGAUGUUCGGCUAAUUUGCAGUCAGACAAAAGGAAGCAGCCCAUGGAGGAGGCAGAAGAAGAUGUUUGCAUGCGUGGUGAACAUGACGCAGAUGAAGUGAUCAUAGGAUAAGAUGAUUAGUUGAUUACAGCUUCAUUCUACUAGGAUGUUCAAAUAACCAUCAAGCGCUGGUGGCGAGCCAAUGCAAACGCAGGGGUUCCAGCUAUGAUCGUCGAUGUUGUCGUGGCCACCGCCGUAGCCAUGGCUCGGGUAGCCCACGUCACCCCGCUC